rnacentral:rRNA from 1 species
GACGAACGCUGGCGGCGUGCUUAACACAUGCAAGUCGAACGGAAAGGCCCUGCUUUUGUGGGGUGCUCGAGUGGCGAACGGGUGAGUAACACGUGAGUAACCUGCCCUUGACUUUGGGAUAACUUCAGGAAACUGGGGCUAAUACCGGAUAGGAGCUCCUGCUGCAUGGUGGGGGUUGGAACGUUUCGGCGGUUGGGGAUGGACUCGCGGCUUAUCAGCUUGUUGGUGGGGUAGUGGCUUACCAAGGCUUUGACGGGUAGCCGGCCUGAGAGGGUGACCGGCCACAUUGGGACUGAGAUACGGCCCAGACUCCUACGGGAGGCAGCAGUGGGGAAUAUUGCACAAUGGGCGGAAGCCUGAUGCAGCAACGCCGCGUGCGGGAUGACGGCCUUCGGGUUGUAAACCGCUUUCGCCUGUGACGAAGCGUGAGUGACGGUAAUGGGUAAAGAAGCACCAGCUAACUACGUG